UACGUAGGGGGCAAGCGUUGUCCGGAAUCAUUGGGCGUAAAGAGCGCGUAGGCGGCCCUGUAAGUCCGCUGUGAAAGUCAAGGGCUCAACCCUUGGAUGCCGGUGGAUACUGCAGGGCUAGAGUCCGGAAGAGGCGAGUGGAAUUCCUGGUGUAGCGGUGAAAUGCGCAGAUAUCAGGAGGAACACCGAUGGCGAAGGCAGCUCGCUGGGACGUGACUGACGCUGAGACGCGAAAGCGUGGGGAGCAAACAGG
rnacentral:rRNA from 1 species